CCUACGGGCGACAGCAGUGAGGAAUAUUGGUCAAUGGGCGGGCGCCUGAACCAGCUACGCCGCGUGAGGGAAGAAGGUACAGCGUAUCGUAAACCUCUUUUGUCAGGGAACAAAGGCGGGGACUAGUCCCCGGAUCAGGGUACCUGAAGAAAAAGCAUCGGCUAACUCCGUGCCAGCAGCCGCGGUAAUCCGGAGGAUGCGAGCGUUAGCCGGAUUUAUUGGGUUUAAAGUGUGCGCAGGCGGCCUGUUAAGUCAGCGGUAAAAGCCCGGGGCCCACCCCCGGCGAGCCGUUGAAACUGGCGGUCUGGAGUGGGAGAGAGGUACGCGGAAUUCGCGGUGUAGCGGUGAAAUGCUUAGAUAUCGCGCAGAACACCGAUUGCGAAGGCAGCGUACCGGCUCCACACUGACGCUGAGGCACGAAAGCGUGGGUAUCGAACAGGAUUAGAUACCCCUGUAGUC
rnacentral:rRNA from 1 species